ensembl:ncRNA F35D2.17 ncRNA
ACACAUAUCCUCUAGUCUGUAAUCAUAACAGGAUAAAUAUAGACUUGAGGCGAGAAACAAAAGACUUUCAUGGAGAUUGGAAUGGAGAAUGGCUGCUCAAUUAUGGUGUCGGCAUCUGAGAAACAACAACAAAAAAACGAACGGUACGUCGGAUCGUAAACGAGGUAAUGAUGCCGGUAGGUAACUGAAGGGACAUACGAGCGGCAUACACGGAAGAGCAGAUGCAUCCGGCAGACCGCCCGUGUGUUGAAUAAUUUAGUGUUAUGAUAGGUGGGGUAACGGCGGAAGUGUUGCUUUCUACGAGGGGUGUAAAUCACAAAGCCUCCGAGUGUUGCACAUUAAAGGGAAAAUUGGGGGGCAACUGUCUUUGUUAGAAGAGUUUGGAAACCAAGGGAUUGGCUUUUUCCGGUACGCGCAAUUAAAGUGUCAGGCGGUGAUGGACAAGUUGGCAGAGAAGAGUCCGUACAAAAAUGAGGACGAUUCGCUUCAUUGCUUCUUCUCCUUGUUGU